rnacentral:misc_RNA from 1 species
GUGUAUGUUUUUCUUUGUUUUCAGUCAUAUUCGCGUGUAUGUAAAAAAUGACGCCGUCCGAAAGCCCCCCUCGCGGGCGACCAAGAACGACCAGCCAAAACCACAGGUGGACAUAAAAGGCGGUCAUGCAGUGAUGAUCCUUCCGCAGGUUCACCUACGGAAA